rnacentral:rRNA from 1 species
UACGGAGGAGGCAAGCGUUAUCCGGAAUUAUUGGGCGUAAAGCGUCCGCAGGUGGCACCUCAAGUCUGCUGUCAAAGACCGGGGCUUAACCCCAGAAAGGCAGUGGAAACUGAAGUGCUAGAGUGCAGUAGGGGUAGAGGGAAUUCCCGGUGUAGCGGUGAAAUGCGUAGAGAUCGGGAGGAACACCGGUGGCGAAGGCGGCGACCUGGGUAGAUACUGACGCUGAGGUGCGAAAGCGUGGGGAGCAAACAGG